rnacentral:rRNA from 1 species
GGAGGUCACUGCUAUCGGGGUUCGAUUAAGCCAUGCGAGUCGAGAGGGUUCGGCCCUCGGCGUACUGCUCAGUAACACGUGGAUAACCUGCCCUAAGGAAGGGAAUACCCCCGGGAAACUGGGGAUAAUGCCCUAUAGGUUACCGAUGCUGGAAUGCUCGGUAACCGAAAGUUCCGGCGCCUUAGGAUGGAUCUGCGGCCGAUUAGGUUGUUGUCGGGGUAACGGCCCAACAAGCCGAUAAUCGGUACGGGUUGUGGGAGCAAGAGCCCGGAGUUGGAUUCUGAGACACGAAUCCAGGCCCUACGGGGCGCAGCAGGCGCGAAAACUUUACAAUGCGGGCAACCGUGAUAAGGGAACCUCGAGUGCCUGUAUAUGCAGGCUGUCCAGGUGUCUAAAACACACCUGAAGAAAGGGCCGGGCAAGACCGGUGCCAGCCGCCGCGGUAAUACCGGCGGCUCGAGUGGUGGCCACUUUUAUUGGGCUUAAAGCGUUCGUAGCUGGGUCGUUAAGUCUCUUGGGAAAUCCGGCAGCUUAACUGUCGGGCGUCUAAGAGAUACUGGCGAUCUUGGAACCGGGAGAGGUGAGGGGUACUUCAGGGGUAGGAGUGAAAUCCUGUAAUCCUUGAGGGACCACCUGUGGCGAAGGCGCCUCACCAGAACGGCUUCGACAGUGAGGGACGAAAGCUGGGGGAGCAAACCGGAUUAGAUACCCGGGUAGUCCCAGCCGUAAACGAUGUGCGUUAGGUGUAUCGAUGACCACGAGUCAUCGAGGUGCCGAAGGGAAACCGUGAAACGUACCGCCUGGGAAGUACGGUCGCAAGGCUGAAACUUAAAGGAAUUGGCGGGGGAGCACCACAACAGGUGGAGCCUGCGGUUUAAUUGGAGUCAACGCCGGA